AGUGCGUAGGAAUCUGCCUUGUGGUGGGGAUAACUUGUGGAAACGCAAGCUAAUACCGCAUAAGUCUCAAGAGAGAAAGCGGGGGAUCUUCGGACCUCGUGCCAUAAGAUGAGCCUACGUUGGAUUAGCUAGUUGGUGGGGUAAAGGCUCACCAAGGCGACGAUCCAUAGCUGGUCUGAGAGGAUGAUCAGCCACACUGGGACUGAGACACGGCCCAGACUCCUACGGGAGGCAGCAGUGGGGAAUAUUGGACAAUGGGCGCAAGCCUGAUCCAGCAAUGCCGCGUGGGUGAAGAAGGCC
rnacentral:rRNA from 1 species